UAGAUCCUGAAGUGUUCGUUGAGAAUUUAUAAUUCAACCUACGUUAUAACAUUGGGAGUCCGGAGUUUUCGGCGGCGGAUGUCAAGCCGUCUUUGAACGGAAGACAGAGGCGGAAACAGGGCACCCCCCUAUCAAAGAUAGGGCGUGAAUUAUAUUCUCGACGGCAUGUCGGGAUUUCU
rnacentral:other from 1 species